GUAAAAGUUUAUUUCUCACCUGUGCUCUGCCAAGGUGACUAUUUGUGGUCUGGUAGCUUUCUUUGAGGAAAAAUUCAGGAGCUGGGCUCCUUCCAUUUCGUGAACUACAUUGUAUGGCCUCCUCUACCUAGGUCUUUGGAAUCGUCACUAUUCAGCUGAGAGGUGGAAACAGAGGCAGGACAUAGCAAGUGGGAGAUUAUUAUGGGCCGGGCCUAGAAGCAGCACAUAUUUCUCCGGCUUCCAUUUCGUUUGCCAGGACCUGGUCACUGCUAGACACCUGACAGAAUCGGCAUAAAGGUUUGGAUCGUUUGUCUACUGAUUGUGGAAUGUGUGUCUGAGUGUCUCUCAUUUCUCUCUGUGGACAGAACAAAAGAAGUGAUAUUCACAUUGACACUGGAACUUCUUUAGAAGAAUGAAGGAUUUCAACCCCACAACCAUUUAAAGUCUCCUGCAGCUGUUUCUGUGAGUCUCCAGGGACAACUGACAGGUACCCCUAAUGCAAGACCCAUUCAGAGAGCUGGUUUACCUAUGGCCUGAAAACCACCGUGACAUACAGAAAGACCCUCGCAGGGGGAAGAACUUAAAAGUCCCUUUGAAAAUGGAAGUUACUAUUUCUCAGCAUCCAACAGUUCUCUGGUGACCUGAAUGGGAAGGGAGCCAGCCUCCAGCAAAUCUCUUCGUGAGGAGUGAGAAGCAGGACCAUGAAGCCGGCAAUAAAUAAAGGCCCAGCACAGAGAGUGCAGUGAGGAUGGAAAC
ensembl:lncRNA